GGCGAACGCUGGCGGCGUGCUUAACACAUGCAAGUCGAACGGUAAGGCCCUUCGGGGUACACGAGUGGCGAACGGGUGAGUAACACGUGGGUGAUCUGCCCUGCACUUCGGGAUAAGCCUGGGAAACUGGGUCUAAUACCGGAUAGGACCACUGCCUGCAUGGGUGGUGGUGGAAAGCUUUUGCAGUGUGGGAUGGGCCCGCGGCCUAUCAGCUUGUUGGUGGGGUGAUGGCCUACCAAGGCGACGACGGGUAGCCGGCCUGAGAGGGUGACCGGCCACACUGGGACUGAGAUACGGCCCAGACUCCUACGGGAGGCAGCAGUGGGGAAUAUUGCACAAUGGGCGCAAGCCUGAUGCAGCGACGCUGCGUGAGGGAUGACGGCCUUCGGGUUGUAAACCUCUUUCAGCACCGACGAAGCGCAAGUGACGGUAGGUGCAGAAGAAGGACCGGCCAACUACGUGCCAGCCGCCGCGGUAA
rnacentral:rRNA from 1 species